AGGAGCUUAGGUUAAUCAUCAGACCAAGGGCCUUCAAAGCCCUAAGCAAAUGUAAUUCAUUUAGCUUCUG
rnacentral:tRNA from 1 species